GACAGAGGAGCCAAGCGUUGUCCGGAUUGACUGGGCGUAAAGCGCACGCAGGCGGUCGCGCGCGUGGGGUGUGAAAUCUGGCCGCUUAACGGCCAGGCGCCAUCCCAUACGGCGCGACUGGAGUGAUGCAGAGGUCGAUGGAAUUGCCGGUGUAGUGGUGAAAUGCGUAGAGAUCGGCAGGAGCACCCAGGGGGAAACCAGUCGACUGGGCAUCUACUGACGCUGAGGUGCGAGAGCGUGGGGAGCGAACCGG
rnacentral:rRNA from 1 species